UGUAACAGUUUUUUUUUUCUCCCCUAGCCGGUGUUGCACCAAAUCCUGUGACCUGUCGAAAUUUGUGACUCUAGAGGGCGCUCUAUGAAUUUAAUGAGUUGGACUGACACAUUGACAAAGCACUUACGCAAAUAACGUAAGAUCAUAGAGGUCUAAAAUAUGGACCGGGCAAAUAAAUCCUCUACUAUACUGAAACUUCAAUGCAGAUGCAUUUACUGAAAUGCAAACGCACAGUAAACGCUAUAUAGUCUGUAGUUCAUCAACAAACAACCUACCGGUUAAAACGGAAAAUGAUAGCGAGAAAGUAGCUCGCUUAGCCU